CCAUCUCAAAAAAAAAAAAAAAAAAGAAAAGAAAAGAAACCGGAAGAAAUAAAAUGGAUGACGGAAAGAAAGAGAGUUUGCAGAGUGUACACGCUUUCUUGAACAGUUUUUUCUCGGGCUUUUUGCCCCACCCAGCUUUACUCAUUAGCUCUAAGAUCAAACAGGACUUUACGUUGGGAGGGACAUUAAUAAGGAGACUGUACAAAUGGAAAAACCCAAAGAUCUAAGCAGAACAUCCGGUUCAGAGGAGAGACUGCACGGAGAGGGCAGUUAUCGUCAUAGUGCAAAGGAACACAAUUAAAAAAGAGAGAGAUGUCAGGGACCUCUCUGAUUCAUAUUUGUUUAUUCUGUGAUGCUUUUCAUGGCUCCUCUUCUAUUUAUUUUUUCAUUAUUCAUUCACUCAUUCAUUCAACUUACUGAGUGCCAGUCAUUAUCCUAGUCAUUAGGGAAUUCUUUAUUGACGUUCUCUUAAUCUCUGUUGUUUUCAAGAAUGAAGGGGGCCAGGCUCAGUGGCUCACACCUGUAAUCCCAGCACUUUGGGAGGCUAAAGUAGGCAGAUCACUUGAGGCCAGGAGUUCAAGACCAGCCUGACCAACAUGGUGAAACUCCGUCUCUACUAAAAAUACAAAAAUUAGCCAAACAUGGUGGCACCUGCCUAUAAUCCCAGCUACUGGGGAGGCUGAAGCAUGAGAGUUGCUUCAACCCAGGAGGUGGAGGCUGCUGCAGCGAGCCGAGAUUGCACCACUGCACUCCAGCCUAGGUGACAGAGCAAGACUCCAACUCAAAAAAAAAAGGAGAAGAAAGAAAGGAAAUUGAGCAACUGGCAACUUCUUCUGGUGUGUAGAACAGACUCAUUCCAUUUGGAUUUCCUUUUCCUGAACCAGUCUGAAGGGGCUGCCUGAUCCUGCUCCAUGCACCAACUGGGUUCCCGUGUCCUUGGCCAGAACUCCAUAGAAGGCUCUGCCUUGGGGCCAGGGCCAGGAAAGGCCUCCACAACUCACAACUCUAAAAUUGAGCCAGAAUCAUGACAAAAUAGGGGAAAAGAAGAUUCAGAAAUGUUUGUCGUCAUCUUCAAAAUGAUUACCCCUUCCUUGUUUGUAGAGUACUGAUUUAAAAACAAACAACAACAACAAACAGAAACAAAAUGAUUACCCCUGGUCUGGGCCUGGGAUGAAGCAAGGUGACCAGGGUGCAGCAUGUAAGGAGACCCUCAGUCUCAGGGUUGUGCUAGUGUUUUCGUGCAAGUAGGUACUUUCUUAGAUCUUGCGCCCUAGCUGUCUCCUUUACCUUAUUCUAGUCUUGACCCUGCAAUUAAUUCUUUUCUUUACUCCCUCCACUGCUACCCUGAAGUGUCCACUGUCAGACACAUUUGGAAAAUAUUGCUUACCAUGUACAGUAUAUUCUUCAAACUACUUACAGCUUCUGGUUUAUACACAGUGCACGCCUGUCUAUUAAAGGCUCUGAGAUCUCCUGCAGUAAGGAAAUCCUAUCUAACCCUGCAUUUCCCAAAUGUACUGGACUGUGGAAGUUUUUCUUCUUUUUAAAGAAAUACUUAUUAACAUCUCAUGGGACAUCCAGGGACGCUGGUUAAGAAAUACUUUGAAUGGUUGUGUAUGGAAUGUACUCAUUAGUUUGAAAAGUUUUCCUUGCUCAAUAAUAGCUAUUUUCUAUUCUGGAUUUAGAUUUCUUUGCAAGUUUCAUUAAGCUCUUCAGCAUCUGAGAAAGGAUUAGAAUGUUUAUUCACACUCUCCAAAUUCCAGUUUAUCAGUUCAUUGAUUCAUCAACGUUGAUUAAGCACUUACUAUGUGCUGAGAAUACAAAGGGUUGCAGAAAAGGAAGAAGAAUCAGCAGAGAGCAUUUGUGGCCAGCAAAGCUUAAAAUAUUUCCUAACCGAUCCUUUGCAAAAAAAGUUCACCCACUCCUGUAGUCAGCAGCUCCCCUACUGUGCGCAGUCAGUGUGCCAUCUCAGACUAGCAAAGAUUUGUGCUUGGAUCAUCUACACUUCCCUGAAUGUUGAAGAAGAUAUGCUAUCCAUGCAAUCCUUGUCGACUGCUUGAUUAAAAAGUGGAUAAACUGUCUUCAGGCCCUUGGAGUAUGGUGUCUGUGUGAAGAAGGGAAUGAGGCAGAAGUAGCAGUCAGUGGUGGCUGAAGUAGGAGAAAGUGCUUGCUAAUGAAAUCUUGAUUUUUCUGUGGCUUUUCUGUGCAAUUGGGUGGCUAAGUAGGAAAGCCAUUGGAGCUUCACUGUAUCAAUUCUGCCUUUCUUGUUUUUUGGAACUCCAAUUCACCAAGGCUCCCUGCCACCCUAUCCAUCUAUAACUUUUCAUCACUUUUUCCUCAAAGUAAGAAGUGUGUCCCAGAAAAUGUGCCUUUGUGACUCAGCAACAUUUCAAAUCCAUCUGAGCCUUCCCAGCGUUCCAAAAGAAAUACUGAUUUGAAUUCAGCUGCUUAAAAAACCAGUCUCUAAGCAGACAGCUUGAAACUUCCUUACAGCAAUAGUUUAGGCUUUGGAGGGGAAAUUGGUUUGUUUUUAAUUGUUUUAAUUUUUCAUUCAAUUCAUUUGCCGCCUGAUUAUAUAUGAUCUUUUGAGCCCAAUACUCUGCUAAAUUAACCUUGACUUUCUUUCUCUCUUUCUCUCUCUCUCCUUCUCUCUUUCUUCCUUUCUUUCUUUCUUUUUGACAGAGCCUUGCUCUGUCGCCCAGGCUGGAAUGCAGUGGCACAAUCUCAGCUCACUGUAAACUCCGCCUCCAAAGUUCAAGCAAUUCUCCUGCCUCAGCCUCCUGUGUAGCUGGGAUUACACACGCCAGCCACCAUGCCUGGCUAAUUUUUGUAUUUUUAGUAAAGAUGGAGUUUCACCCUCUUGGCCAAGCUGGUCUCGAACUCCUGACCUCAACCUUGGCCUCUCAAAGUGCUGGGAUUACAAGCAUGAGCCACCAUGCCUGGCCUUACCUUGAUUUUUUUUUUUUGAGACAGAGUCUCACUCUGUUGCUCAGGCUGGAGUGUAGUGGCUCGAUCUUGGCUCACUGCAACCUCCAUCUCCCGGGUUCAAGAGAUUCUCCUGCCUCAGCCUCCCAAGUAGCUGGGACUACAGGUGUGGGCCACCACGCCUAGCUAAUUUUUUAUAUGUUUACUAGAGACAGGGUUUCACCAUGUUGGGCAGGCUGGUCUUGAACUCCUGACCUCAGGUGAUUCACCUGCCUCGGCCUCCCAAAAUGCUGGGAUUACAGGUGUGAGCCACCACACCCGGCCCCUACCUUUGAUUUUUAAGUCAAGAGGGAACAAGUCGAAAUUUCUAUUCAGGUAAACUGUAUACCUUUGGACACUGAAUCACUUUUAGAACCCCAGUAAAAAUCAUGUAUGAAUGACCCACAAUUUCACUCCAACAGGAAGGUGUGUAUAUGUGCACAAAAACAUUAGAUUGUUCACACCGGUGCUAUUCAUAAUAGUCAAAAACUGGAAACAACUCAAACAUCCAUCAACUGUAGAAUGGAUAAAUAAAUCAUGAUAUAUUCAUACCAUGGAACAUAACAGUGACAAUAAAUGAACCACUGCUACACACAACAGAUAUGAAUUUCACAAACAGAAUGCUGAGCAACAGAAGCCAAACACAGAAGGAUACACAUUUAUAAAUCCAUUUGUAUGAAGUUCAUAAACAGACAAAAUUAGUCAGUGGAGAUUAUUCUCAUAGAAGUCUGAAGGGUAGUUGUCUUUAGGGAGGGGGAUAUAGUGACUGAGGUGGGUAUAAGGGGUUUCUGGGGUUUGGUGAUGGUACACCAGCAUAUUCACUCUGAAAACUCAUUGAGCUGUGCAAUAAUGAUUUUUCAAACUUUUAUAUGUGUAUGAUAAUGCUUCAAUAAAGCUUUGCUUAAAAACACGCAUAGUCAUUGCUAUGGUGUGAAUGUUUGUGUGCCCCCGUUCACCAAAUUCAUAGGUUGAAAUCCUAACCCCCAAGGUGAUGAUAUUAGGAGU
rnacentral:lncRNA from 10 species